rnacentral:rRNA from 1 species
CCUACGGGAGGCAGCAGUGGGGAAUAUUGGGCAAUGGGCGCAAGCCUGACCCAGCAACGCCGCGUGAAGGAAGAAGGCUUUCGGGUUGUAAACUUCUUUUGUCAGGGAAGAGUAGAAGACGGUACAUGACGAAUAAGCCACGGCUAACUACGUGACAGCAGCCGCGGUAAUACGUAGGUGGCACGCGUUGUCCGGAUUUACUGGGUGUAAAGGGCGUGUGGCCGGGUUGACAAGUCAGAUGUGAAAUUCUGCGGCUUAACCGCAGAACUGCAUUUGAAACUGUUGAUCUUGAGUACUGGAGAGGCAGACGGAAUUCCUGGUGUAGCGGUAAAAUGCGUAGAUAUUAGGAGGAACACCAGUGGCGAAGGCGGUCUGCUGGACAGCAACUGACGGUGAGGCGCGAAAGCGUGGGGAGCAAACAGGAUUAGAUACCCGGGUAGUC